rnacentral:tRNA from 2 species
GCCGGGGUCUCCUAGCCAGGCAGGGAGCAAGCCUGGAGAGCUUGUGGCCUCUCGGGGCCACGGGGGUUCAAAUCCCCCUCCCGGCGCCA